rnacentral:misc_RNA from 1 species
UCGCAUGCCUGCGAACAAUAGGGUACACAGUAGUGCAGCCCUACAGACGCACGGCAUCUGGCAAAGUGCUAUUGGUUAUGACCCAUAUGCUCCUAGCAAGGAUGAAGACAAGAAAUCGUCUAACCAGAAGCCAUCGUCGGCUGCAGAUCCCGAAAAUGCUUAUGCAAGCUUUCAGGGUUUGCUUGCACUUGCUCGAAUCACUGGAUCAAAUGCUGAUGAGACCCGUGGAGCAUGCAAGAGGUGUGGGCGGGUUGGCCACCUCACUUUCCAAUGUAGGAAUUUCGUGAGUGUUAAGGAUGAUAACAAGGAUAAGGACGCAGAGGCAAUAGAAGCUGCCGUGUUGUCUGGAUUGGAGAAGAUUAAGGGGCAUGGUUCUAAGAUGAAGGGGAAAGCAGAAAACGAGGAUAGCAGUGAAGAAGAGGAGGAGAGUGAGAGUUCUGAUUCUGAUUAUGAUUCUGAAAUGGAGAGGGCAAUUGCUGAGAAGUAUGGUAAGAAGGUGAGUAGAAAGUUAAAGUCAUCAUCUAAGAAGCACAAAAAGAAAGAUUCUGAUUCUGAUGACGAGUCAGACUCUGGAAAAAGGAAAAAGAGGGGUAGAUCAAAGAGAAGGAGGAGUGGGAAGAAGAGGGGACACAGUGAUUCGGAGGAUGAUGAUGAAGAUAAGGAGCGUAGGAAGAGGAGGAGGGAAAAGAGGAGAAAACGGGAUGAAUCAUCAGAUGAGGAGGAGGAUCGUCGGAGGAGGAGAAAAAGUAGGAAGGAGAAGAGGAGGAGGAGA